rnacentral:rRNA from 1 species
AACGAACGCUGGCGGCAGGCUUAACACAUGCAAGUCGAACGGAUCCUUCGGGAUUAGUGGCGCACGGGUGAGUAACGCGUGGGAAUGUACCCCUUGGUAAGGAAUAAUAUCUGGAAACGGAUACUAAUACCUUAUAAUGACUUUGGUACAAAGAUUUAUCGCCAAGGGAUCAGCACGCGUCUGAUUAGGGAGUUGGUGAGGUAACGGCUCACCAAGCCGACGAUCAGUAGCUGGUCUGAGAGGAUGAUCAGCCACACUGGAACUGAGAAACGGCCCAGACUCCUACGGGAGGCAGCAGUAGGGAAUAUUGGACAAUGGGGAAAACCCUGAUCCAGCCAUGCCGCGUGGGUGAAGAAGGCCUUAGGGUUGUAAAGCUCUUUCAAUGGUGAAGAUAAUGACGGUAGCCAUAGAAGAAGCCCCGGCUAAAUUCGUGCCAGCCGCCGCUGUAA